rnacentral:rRNA from 1 species
UGCAAGUCGAGCGGAUGAUGGGAGCUUGCUCCCGGAUUCAGCGGCGGACGGGUGAGUAAUGCCUAGGAAUCUGCCUAGGGGUACGGAAUAACUCAGGGAAACUUGUGCUAAUACCGUAUACGACCUCAGGGUGAAAGAUUUAUCGCCCCUAGAUGGGCCCGCGCUGGAUUAGCUAGUUGGUGGGGUAAAAGCCUACCAAGGCGACGAUCCAUAGCUGGUCUGAGAGGAUGAUCAGCCACACUGGGACUGAGACACGGCCCAGACUCCUACGGGAGGCAGCAGUAGGGAAUCUUGGACAAUGGGCGAAAGCCUGAUCCAGCCAUGCCGCGUGAGUGAUGAAGGCCUUAGGGUUGUAAAGCUCUUUCGCCAGGGAAGAUAAUGACGGUACCUGGAUAAGAAGCCCCGGCUAACUUCGUGCCAGCAGCCGCGGUAAUACGAAGGGGGCUAGCGUUGUUCGGAAUUACUGGGCGUAAAGCGCACGUAGGCGGCAUUCCAAGUUGGAGGUGAAAUCCCCGGG